CUGACCUUAGCUCAGAUGGUAGAGCGGAGGACUGUAGAUCCUUAGGUCGCUGGUUCAAAUCCGGUAGGUUGGA
rnacentral:ncRNA from 15 species